rnacentral:miRNA from 1 species
GACAGUGUUCGUGAGCAAUGCCGGGGUUGUGAGUUCGAGCCUCACCUGGAGCAUAUUUUUUAAUAAUUUGUUUAUUUUUAUUUUACUUCUAAAUAAGGUGUAAAUAAAAGUC